CGGCGUGUGGCUGAACGGUAAAAGCGCCGUCCUGAUAAGGCGGUGGGCUGAAGUAGUCCGCGUGCGUUCGACUCGCACCGCGCCGA
rnacentral:tRNA from 1 species